AGUAAUAUGAACUGAGAGAAGUCGUGUGGAGAACAACCAGCUGAAAAGUUUACCUUUGGUCCAGGGAAUCCAAUCCCAAUAUCUCCCGGCGGGCCAGACGCACCAGCCGGCCCUCGGUCCCCCUAGGAACAACCUGAAGAUCUUCCCUGUGGAUGAGGAACCAGGAACAAGAACCGUGUUGGUCAGAGAGUCAGUAGUGAGACAAAAUGUAUGACCCUAUGAAGAUGUGAUGUACCUCUGGACCAUUGAUUCCUGGAAGACCAGAGUUUUCUUCAUGAACGGCACAAGUGAAGGAAUAUGGCCUCAAUUCCAUCCCAGCAAUACUCACAGAAGCUCCUGGAAGACCUCGAUCACCUUUCUCACACAAACACACCGGUGGUCGUGGGCACUGGCAAGACAAAUAUCAGGUAGUUUGCAAUCAGCAUUGUUAAAGUCCAGUUAUUGAUGGUGUGAUAUGCUUUGCUUAAAGGGAUAGUUCACCC